GAAAUGCGAUACGUAAUGUGAAUUGCAGAAUUCCGCGAAUCAUCGAAUCCUUGAACGCAUCUUGCGCUUGUGAGUCCUCUCACAAGCACGCCUGUUUGAGUAUCGUUUCCAUCUCUCCCUCCAACAACAACACUCGUUUGUUGCUUGGCAGUGGGGAUGUUGGGUGUUGGCUGGUUCCAUUCAUUGGGUUUGGCCAUCACUUGAAACGGAGUGCCCUGGUGCCGUACGCCGGGCUACGGUGUGCUGGUAACCCGUCACGGGUAAUCUUCACCGUUCAGACCGACGAUAGGUUGCCAAGGCAAAAAACCAUGGAAUCCCUUGUGGAUUCCUACUAUAUCACCUUGCGAUCUCAAAUCAGGCGAGACUACCCGCUGAACUUAA
rnacentral:misc_RNA from 1 species